rnacentral:lncRNA from 1 species
CUUUUAUUUUAGGUUCGGGAUACAUGCACAGGUUUGUUUUAUAGAUAAAUUGCUUGUCAUGUGGGUUUGUUGUACAAAUUAUUUUGUCACCCAGAUAGUAAGCAUAGUACUUGACAGGUAUUUUUUCUGAUCCUCUCCCUCCUCCCACCCUCUAGCCUCAAGUAGGUCCCAGUGUCUGUUGUUCUCUUCUUUGUGUCCAUGUGUUCUCAAUGUUUAGCUCCCACUUACAAGUCAGAACAUGCAGUAUUUGGUUUUCUCUUCCGCAUUAGUUCACUUAGGAUAAAGGCCUCCAGCUCCAUCCAUGUUGCUACAAAGGACAUGAUCUCUUUCUUUUUUAUGGCUGCAUAGUAGUCCAUGGUGUAUAUGUACCGUAUUUUCUUCAGUCUACUGGUGAUGGGCAUUUAGGUUGAUGCCAUGUCUUUACGAUUGUGAAUAGUGCUGCAGUGAACAUACAUGUACAUAUAUCUUUAUGGUAGAAUGAUUUAUAUUCUUUUGGGUAUAGACCCAAUACUGGGAUUGUUGGGUCGAAUGGUAAUUCUGUUUUAAGUUCUUUGAGAAAUCGCCACACUGCUUUCCGCGGUUACUGAACUAAUUUACAUUCCCACCAGCAUUGUAUAAGCAUUCCCUUUUCUCCACAACCUCACCAGAAACCAGCAUCUGUUAUUUCUUGACUUUUAUUAAUAGCCAUUCUGACUGGUGUGAGAUGAUAUCUCAUUGUAGUUUUGAUUUGGGUUUCUCUAGUGAUUAGUGAUGUUGAGUAUUUUAUAUGCUUGUUGGCCAUGUAGCUUCUUUUGGCUAGGGACCUGUGAGUCUCCCUAGGUUUCUUGCACUUACUAAGCCUUCAACAAAUGGUAGAAGAGUCAAUUCUCUUGGUGUUUCAGAAGAAAACAAUAUCACAGCCCCUCUCCACUGGAUAAUACUAUAAAUCUUAAAAUGAAUUUUCAUUCAGAGUAAUAAACACAAGCCAAAGAACUUUGUAUAACAUCCGUCAACUUUUUGUGUUAUCUAUUUCUUUUCCAAAACAUUGCCUCUGGUUUUAAAGGUAACUGCCCACAGUGUUUCACUAAUAACAUUUUAAGCAUUACAAGUUCAACACUGAAGGUCAAAUGACAACGAACUUUCAGUGCUUCCAAAAGCAGGGGCAGAGGGCAACUGCUGAGGGGGGCAUUGUAUAGCCUAACCUUCCCAGAAUUUGAUUUAAAAGUAUGAUCUUCACAGCGUUGGCCAGCAAUAUCAUGGUCACUCCCUACGUCAUUCCCUGGGAGAAAAACAACCCUAGGUUACCUAAACAAUGUUGGCGAAGACCAAAUAUUUAUUAACAUCCUAAGCCGCCCCAUAAUCAAGCCAAUGCUGAUAGGGACAAAGAAGGUGCCAUGUGCAGUUUUUCUCCAUGUCCCCACAAUAUCUGCUCUGAAUUUUAAAAGGCAAUUACUGGGGGAGAAGGAAGCCUAUAUAUUAUGUAGGAUCCAAGUCUCAAACUGCUUUCCUAGGGAGUGUGAGGUUCUUGGAGAUUAAGUGCAGUACCUUUCUGUCUUGAGCCUUGUAGGCUGCCCCUCUAAUUUAAUGCCAGUCUUGAAAUAAACAGAAUGCUUUCCAAGUCAUCGCUAAUUUUAACACUUUAAAUUUAGAAUUGCUUAGAAUUGACUCAACACUGCCUCCUUGCUGAAUGGAUAAUUCAAGCAAACAACUCAAGAGCUGGAUGCUGCCCAGACAGGUAGGCAGCCAGAUAAAGUGAGUGUCCAGGGAAAGAGCAGUAAGGGUCAGAAGAGAAAGAGCCUGGUGUUCUCACUGCCUCCUGCCUUCCUUAUGACUGUCUGUUCAGAAGUCCUCCUAGCAUCUUUCUUCUGCCUUCCCCUGCUCCUGUCCCUGAAACCUUUUCUUCAAAAGAAGUGGAAAAGAGGAACUGGGAACCCAUAUAGCAACAGCAUCACCUGGAAUGAAUUCCUUUAGAACAUACUGUCUUGGAAAUCUGAAGCCUGCAGGGCUGGACAGGCAAGAAGAGCAGUGAGCACUGCAUGAACCUAUUAUGAAGUAGCUAUGGAAUUUGAAUGGGUUGAUUCUUCAGCUCCCAGAAAAAAACUUUGAUUGGUUUAACUGGCCACAGUAAUUGAUGUGGGAAUGAGGCCCUGACAUAAUUUCAACUUAGAAGACAUGUUCACUGGAAGUGAACUAGGAAGCAUGAAGUCUCAGACAUUCGACACUGAAAGAAUAAGCAGUCUUAGGAUGAAGGCAGUGCUAUGGACACCAGAACUCCAUGGUUCAGGCUGUUCAGCAUCAACUGUUCCUGACAGCCACCCUAACGUGCCUCCAGUUUCCUGGGCCAACAGAUGCCUGUCAUUGUUGAAGUUUCUUUGAGUUGGGUCUUCCGUUACUUACAAUUUAAAUCACCCUCACUGAUUACUAUGUACUUAAUUGUUCUCCUCCACUCUCUGCCAAUCCAUAUGCUGAAGCCUUAACCCCCAACGUGAUAGUAUUUGGAGACUGGAACUUUGGGAGAUAAUUAGAUUUAGAUGUGGUCAUGAGGAUGGGACCUUCAAGAUGAGAAUAGUAUCCUUAUAAAAAGUGGUACUAGAAAGCCUCUCUUUCUCUCUCUCUGCCACGUAAGAACACAGCAAGAAGGCAGCCAUCUGCAAGCCAGGAAGAGAGCCCUUACCAGAACUUGACCAUGCUGACACCCUGAUCUCAGAUGUGCAGCCUCCAGAACUGCAAAAAAGACACAUUUUCAUUGUUUAAGCUACCUAGUUUAUGGUAUUUUGUUACAGCAGCCCAAUCUGACUAAUACGCUGAUACAGGCAUAUUAGGGUACAUGCCACCAGCAGAGUGGUUCAACUGCAGGUCCACACUUACCCAGUGAAGGUGACUCAGCCUAGAGUGUGACUCAGUCUCUUCCCAACCCUGUCCGCAUCACCCCUGGAAGAGUCAGCUCCUCCCACAACUGCAGUCCUGACAGCAGCAUCAUGCCUCUGAAAUGAUCUUGCAAACAAGCUGUCAUUGGAGUGCUGAGAGAGUGGCAAUAUCAACUAAAAACAUGAAGAAGAAGAGCAACAAAGAGGAGGAAGAGGAGGAGAAGAGGGAAAGAAGUGAGGCGCUGUGGUGAAGAAUAGUACUUCUCAUCUCCACCAGAACAGCAGAGAACAAUGAAAGCACACCAUCAGGACGUCUCAGGGUACAGCCAGAAAAGCCAUUACCAUUUGUGCCAAUAUCUUUGAAAUCUUGUAUUUUGUCAUAAAAAGUUAUGCAGUUUCUGUAUUCUACUUCAUCAUGUGCCUUUAUAUUUUUUAUAUCAAAAUGUCUCCCUAAAAACCUUUGAGAAGGGCCAUUUUAUCUCAAAUCUUUGAAAUAAUUUCCUAGUCCCACCAUGCUUGCCCUGAGAUGUUCACACCCCAAUAUGAGAAGCACAUGUACAUCAGAAAGAGGACUGGACUUAGAGUUUUAAAUCUAAGUUCUUUUCCAAUACCAUGCUUUCCUAGUCUUGAUCUUGAAAAAUCACUCAUCAUCUUUAAGCUUCUCUUUCGUCAUGAGUGAAAGAAAGGAUGACACCAACACCUUCUCUCCCUUUCUCAUAGAAGCAUCAAGCUCCAAGUAGUUAAUGUGAGAAAAAGGACUUGGGAGAACAGGAAGCUCUGGCCUUUUUGUUGUGUAGGGUAUUUUCCCAAGAAUACUUUGGAAGUUUCCUUUAAUUUGUUCUUGGACUAACCUUUCCUAUUCACUCUGAUACCUUUUUGUUCAACCCUUGUAUCUGUGCAUGGAAGAGCACAGGAGGCAAAAAGAAUAAGGAUUUAUAGUCACUUGUCAAUAGGCGUGGAAGAGAAGUCAGAUUCUUAUUUAUUUGAGAUAAAGUCUAGCUCUGUUGCCAGGAUGGAGUGCAGUGGUGUGAUUUCUGCUCACUGCAACUUCCACCUCCUGGGUUCAAGUGAUUCUCCUGCCUUAGCCUCCCUAGUAGCUGAGAUUACAGGUGUGUACCACCACUCUCGGCUGAUUUUUGUAUUUUUAGUAGAGAUGGGGUUUCACCAUGUUGACCAAGCUGGUCUCGAACUCGUGACCUCAAAUGAUCCACCUACCUCGGCCUCCUAAAAUGCUAGGAUUACAGGCAUGAGCCACCGUGCUUGGCCAGAUUCUUAUUCUUGAGGUGACCUCUAUAUCCCUUCGUUCCCUUCAUGUCUGUAUCUUCCACCCUUAUCAUGGCAUCUCAAGUUUCCCUACUUAAGAGAAUCUGAGCCUGUAUCCCUCAUACUUGCCUUAUGGACAAAUCACCUGGGAUACAGGAAGGCAAGUGACUUCCAUCUGCAGUAACAGCUCUGGUUCAUUGGUUGCUUAGAACAUUACAUUGAGAAGAAUCACUCAAUGGGAAAGAAUAUAGAUGGGUUGGAGAUGUCUGCACAGACAGGGAAGUGAGAACAGCCACAUUUGUGGCAUCACUAGCUGUCCUUGGUUGACAGGCUCAAGAUGAGUCAACUCAGAAAAGUGUUGGACGGGCACGGUGGCUCAGGCCUGUAAUCCCAGCACUUUGGGAGGCCAAGGAGAGCAGAUCACUUGAGGUCAGGAGUUCGAGACCAGCCUGGCCAACAUGGUGAAAUCCUAUCUCUACUAAAAAUACAAAAAUUAGCUGCGCGUGAUGGCAACCUAUAAUCCCAGCUACUUGGGAGGCUGAGGCAGGAGAAUCGUAUGAACCUGGGAGGUGGAGGUCGCAGUGAGCCAAGAUCGUGCCACUGCAGUAUUCCAGCCUGGGGAACAGAGUGAGACUCCGUCUUAAAUUAAAAAAAAAAAAAAAAAAAAGUCACAAUUAUUGAAAGCUGGAAGGUUUUCAGAAAAAUCUCAAAUGUAGGCGUUUCCAUCCUUGGGGUCUUGACUCGUGAGGCAUUUACAAACUUAGUAAUAAUGACUUAUAUCUUAUUUUUGAUAAUAUGAAGGCCCAACUCCUUCCCUAUGAUAGGGUUGUCAAGGUUCUUUCCUUUUGAGCAGAACAGUAUCUACUCCAUUCACUAAUGGCGUAUCAUGCUAGUCGCUAUGAUUGACAUUUGUUGAAGUCACAGAAAUUUCCGGAAUGUUAUUGGUCCACCUGACAGUCCAGGAUGCCAAUUGAACCCAUGAGCAAUUGUGGACUUGAAUACACAGUGAUGACCUAAGAUAAGUGACUGCUUGAAGAGAACAAUGGUAAUAAAGAGACUCCUGGUGAUUAAGAGCCUGGGAAUCAAUGUUCUAAUGAAAUAUGACAUCAAUCUUAAUGUAACUGCUUCAAAUCCUACCCAGUAAUUCUGAAAUUUUUAGGGGCUUCAGAUUUGGAUGAACACACCAUGAGUUUAUUUCAAAAUGCCUAUUUCUAUUUCAGUAUGCAAUUACUUGAGACUUUUUUGAAAAAAAUAACAAACAGCUUCUAUUAAAUAAUUGUCUUUUUGUUGCAGAAUUCUAAAGGGUUUAUGGACUGUGUACAUACACUGCAUUUAAGCUUUUCAUUUAUUUGACUACUUUGGUGUUUUCAGUUUGCCGGAAAGCAGGCCCUCAUAGAUGAAAGGCCCAGCUGGUGUCCAAAAGCCAUCGAUUUGCCUUGUCGGCUCUUUAGGCAACCAGGCUUUCUAAGUGGGUAGGCCCAUAGGGUGUUUGUUUCAUUUUGGUCAUGUCCUACUGUGCUUCAACAUAAAGCUACACAACAACCAUAAAAGACAUAAUGAUUACAUAUUUUUGGAAUUUCUUUCUAUUUUUCCAGGGUUUCUUUAGGACCUACCAUUUCUUUUUUUUUUUUUUUUUUAGAUGGAAUCUCACUCUGUCACCCAGGCUGGAGUGUAGUGGCAUGAUCUUGGCUCACUGCAACCUCUGCCUCUCGGGUUCAAGCAAUUAUCUUGCCUCAGCCUCCUGAGUAUCUGGGACUACAGGAGUGCCAACCCUCGUCCAGCUAAUUUUUGUAUUUUUAGUAGAGACAGAGAUUCACCACGUUGGCCAGGCUUGUCUUGCUCCUGACCUUAGGUGAUCCACACACCUCCACCUCCCAAGUGCUGGGAAUACAGGCGUGAGCCACCAUGCCCAGCCGGGCCUACCAUUUAUUUCUAUCUGAGUUUCCCUUGCCAGUGAACUCUUGCAUUUUAAGUAAUAGCCAUUGAGGAAAAAGCUGUCAAAUGAGAACGUUUCAGAGAAAAGCACCUUGAAGAGUGACAGGCUGAGGUUUGGGGUGGCCUGUAGGAGCCCUGUGCCUGGAAGAGAUGACAGGCACCUACAUCUCUCCUAAAAGCAAUGGGGAGGUGGUUAGUAAUAAGGGACUUCUCUAUUAUACUUCUCCUGCUCCCAAUUUCUUUUCCUUAUUCUCUUAAAUUGUUUUCUCCCUCUCUUUAUCUCAUUUCCUUUGGUGUCUCUCCUGUCCUUUUUUUCUAAUUUCCCUUUUUCUUCUCUUGCUUUUUCUCCUCCCCUUUUUUCUUCUCUCCUUCAUCCUUUCUUUUCUGUCCUAUUUCGCUGCCCUUUCUGCGAAAACUGUUUUCCCUUUAUGGCAUCAGACUGUUUCCCAAAGUGUGUUCCACCAAGCACUGGAUCCACAGGUUGCUUUGUGGAAAAUAAAAAAGAUGGGUCUGAAGCAGGGCCAUCAGUGAUUCAAUAAGUUCAGGAAACAGUGUCGGCUUCCUGGAGCAUCCACAUUCCACAGGUUCUGAGAAAUUCUGCUGUGAAGAAACUGUCUAACUUGCCUUAUCCCAGAGCUCCCCAAACUUCCUGACCUCAGCAUCAUUUUCCUUCCAAAGAAAUGAAUCUCACUGAGAAUCUCUGUGGUAGAGCCUCUUGUCUUCCUCACUUUGGGGCUUCUGAGCACUUCUUUCAUCCAGCCAAGCCUGAUGUCAAGGUGUCUUCUCACGUGCUGAGGGCCACCACAGUCAGGGUCUCCCUUUUGGGUGACCGCCUUCACUGCCCACCCUGCAGCCACCUACCACUCAGACUUGCAAAAGUCCUGUAUUGCUCACCUCCCUUUGGUUGUUGUUUUUUUUUUUUUUUUUUUUCUAAAAAAUUGUCAAAGAUGAUUUUUGAAGAAUACUUGCAGUGUGGCAGAGGUACAAGCAGAGGAAUAUUUUGGUUCCCUGCUGGUAGUAAUGCUCCCAUCAUUGCAGAGGGCGAUUUGGUAAUAUGUAGCCAAAGCCUUAAAAUUCUAUUGAGUGGUGGGGCAGGCACAGUGGGUCAUGCCUGUAAUCCCAGUACUUUGGGGGUCCGAGGCAGGAGGAUCUCUUGAGCCCAGGAAUUUGAGACAAGACUAGGCAACAAAGCAAAACCCCAUCUCUACAAAAAAUAGAAAAAUUAGCCAGGUAUGGUGGCGCGUGCCUGUAGUCCCAGUUACUUGGGAGGCUGAAGUAGGAGAAUCACUUAAGCCCAGGAGGCAGAGGUUGCAGUGAGCUGUGAUCACACCACUGCACUCUAGCCUGGGCAACAGAUUAAGACCCUAUAUUAGAAAAAAAAAAAGCAACACAUUCUGUUUAAGGGACUUUAGCCUAAGAAAACAAUUAAGAAUGGAUGCAAAGAGUUAGCUAAAAGGAUUCUUUACUGGAGUGUUUUCUGUAAUAACAAAAACUUGAGAACAACCUUAAUAUCCAAUGAUGGAAGAUGGUUUGAGUACACUGUGGUGUAUUCAUAUAAUCAGGUAGCUCUGAAGAGUGGAGUUUUAGAAGAGUAUUUAAAAAUAGAUACCCCAAAAUAAUUUUCUGUAACAAACAUACAUACGCCCAUUGUGAUCCCAUUUCUGUCAAAUCAGCAUACACUGAGUGUGACAUAUGCAUAUAAAUAUUCGAAGCUGGGAAGAGCAGUCACCAAAAUUUAUCAGUAAUCUUCACUUCCAGGGUAGUUCAUUUCAGCUUCUUCUUGUUUAUCUGUGCUUUCUGAUUUUUAUAUAAAAGAGCAUAUGUUUUUUGUAUAUUGAAA